ACUGGUAGCAGCCCCUGGUAUAUCCAGGACAUCAGCACAUAGAACCAGUGAAAGGGUCCUCCCUCAUAGUGACGCAUGUCAUAGACUCAGAUUUAUACAAACAAAUGCUGAGCAAACCAUGAAGAGUCUCUGGUAUUUUCAACAAUAUCAUCACAGAGGAACUGUAUUGAUUUCCUUGCACGUUCAGGGUACUGGGAGAGGCAACAGGGAUGGAGGUCCCAUGUCAGGGGACUUCACAGUGUGACGGGAAUGUUCAACCUGCACCUGUUCCUUGCACCAUACUCCAUCCAGCUCUCCGCUCUUCCAGUCAUUUAUGCUCCUGUCUUCCGUGGAGGAAGUCUGGUAGUAUCUCCCCGGGACACUGGCUCAAAUUUCCAGCCACCUGCCCAAGACAGAUGGGACCAGGGGCCAGAUGAUGUGGACAAUGAUGAUGUCACAAAGAGAACCACAGUGAGUCUCUGAGACCUAGUUUUGGCAGAAGGAAGUACCAGAGGGAGCUGAGCUGUUGAACAUUAUGUGCGAUCAUGUAAUAACUGCAAUCGGAAGGGAAACACUCAGAGUCCUGGAGAAAGAGAAAUUCGCAUUUGUGGACGCCUGCUGGGAGCUAGGCACUUUCGAAUAGUUCCUGUCACCUAACUUAAAAUUUCAUAUUCAAAGGACAUCAUCAGCUCUCUUGUUAGAAGGGGUCCAGGCUGAACACCCUCUUUUCUCUCAAUGAUCCCAGCUAUGACACAGUUUUCUGAUCUUCAACAUCCUGGAGGCCCAAGACUAUUCAAAUAUGUCACAAAUAUCUCUAAUCACAUCUUGUGAUUAUGACUUGGAUAGAAGAUAAACAUUAUUUCCAUAAUGAUGAACAUAA
ensembl:lncRNA LINC01255 long intergenic non-protein coding RNA 1255